AGUUUUAUGAAUAUCUAAUUUAUAUAAAAUAACUCCUGCCCAAUGACUUUUUUAAUGGCCGCAGUACUUUGACUGUGCUAAGGUAGCAUAAUAAAUUGGCUUUUAAAUGAAGUCUGGAAUGAAUGGUGUUUUGGAUUAAGAUUGUCUUUUUUAAUUUUAUUUGAACUUUUUUAUUAGGUGAAAAUACCUUUAUUAUUUAAGUUAGACGAGAAGACCCUUAGAAUUUUUUAAAAUAAAAAUUUGCUUUGUUUGUUUUUUGUUGGGGUGAUAUAUUAACAUAAUUAACUUAUUUUUACUUACAAGACGAAUUUAAUAUUAAGUUUGAUUAAAUUACCUUAGGGAUAACAGCAUAAUUUUUUUUUAAGAUUAUGACCUCGAUGUUGGACUACGAACCUAAUAAUUAGUAAUUAAAUUGGAUAGUUCUGUUCGAACUUUUUUUCCU
rnacentral:rRNA from 1 species